rnacentral:tRNA from 1 species
GGAGAGAUGGCAGAGUGGUCGAUCGCGGCGGUCUUGAAAACCGUUGAACUGAAAAGUUCCAGGGGUUCGAAUCCCUUUCUCUCCG